AGGAAGGGUCCAUAUGUUGGUUUGUGGGUUGAGCUGUAAACUCAAUAGCUAUAAGCUAUCGAAGGUUCGAUUCCUUUUCUUCCUA
rnacentral:tRNA from 1 species